rnacentral:lncRNA from 1 species
CUUUAAGGUAGAUAAUUUAUAAGGAUAAAUUAUUGUCUGGCCCUGCUGUUAUAAAGGCUGUCACUAUUUGUUACGGGUUUAAGGGUGAGUCUGCAUUGGAUAUUUCAUAGGUUGGGAGAGGUGGAGGCAGAAAUAGGUAACUGAAAUGUUUUCUAAAACAGAAGCCAUAUCUAAAUUAUACCAAGAAAUAUUAUUUAAUAUGCAGAGAACUGAGUUUCCUCAGACUUUGUUUUACCAUUUUUUUUGGAGGGGGCAUGCAUGUAUAGACUGACGGUUUUUAGUUUCUUUUAAGAAAUGAACGUGCUCAUUUUUGUUGUAUCUUUUUGCUCUGUAGGAGUCUCUACAGACCGGGUACUGUUGCACAGCCUGUGACAGAGGAUCAUGCAUUUGAUUUGGAAUCUGAGAAUCCUUCAGAACCAUACUUUAUGAACAGAAGAACGAUUUCUCAACAAUCUGCAGAAAAUUUAGAUGCUGCAUGUGGCAUUGAAAAAACAGAAAAUGGAACCUUGUUUGAAGACCAAAAUGUUGAUAAGGUAAAUGAAGAUGUGGUUAAAAGCCAACAUAGAAUAAUCAGAGUCCAGUCCUGUUCACCAACUCACUCUUAUCUGUUAAUGAUCUCUAGUUUUACAAUGGUAAAUUGUUUUAUUUGGAAAGUAUUUUUCCCAUGCUUUAUUCACUUGCCAUCUCCCUGUCUUUAUAAUGAUGACAAGGAUCCUAUAAAGGAAUGGAAGUUCUCAAGGUAAUAAUAGAAAAGAAGUGUAACAGCAGGAGAAAUAUAUGCAUGAGACUAGGAUUCCUAAAAGGUCGUGGGAGUAAAUGAUUCUUAGGUUUGCCAUUAGGGAAGGAAAGAAGUAGAAAGCAACCUGGAAGAACAGCUCCACAAAUACAAAGGUGAGGAGGGGAAAGUAGUAAGAAUACAGAGUUGAAUAAGAGUGUCAAGGUGACAAAGAUUAGUAUAAAACACCUCAGAAAUGGUGUAUUUAAAUGACAGUAGAAUGUCUCCAUAUCAUAUUAUAGAAUUAUUUUAAAUAUAGAUUAAGAAAAGAAAGCCAAGUAAUUAAAAAAAAUGCUCAGAUUCUUCUGAGUGACUUAUGGGUGAUUUUAAUAAAGGAUUGGAAGAAAAUUUAUGGGUGACUAUAUUUAACAUUCUGUUUUACAUUUAAAAAUAGCAAGGAGAGAAUAACUUGAAUAU